AUAUAUAUAUAUAUGCGAGUAUAUAUAGCUGGUAACCCCAGUAAGUAUUGACUAUAUAUAUUUAUUGUCUUUCAAGGGUAAAGAACAUUCAGCAAAUAUGAAAACUUUGUUUAUUUUCGCUGCAGUUCUUUUUUGUGCUGCUGUAGUUUUGGCACAGAGCGAUGACAAUUGUCCACCAAAUGAUUGCCAAAUUCUUCCUCUUGAUGCUCCUUGCAAAGAUGAAGGUGGGAAACUAAUCCCACAUACUAAAUGUGAAUCAGGACUAAGAUGUUGUGGAUAUUUAAAAAAAUGUGUUAAGGAUGAACAUAAGCAUUGAUCACUAUCCCAAUUCAACGGUUUGGUUGUUUUCGAUAAUUAGUAAUAAAAUAUUGAAAACAUAUAACAA